rnacentral:rRNA from 1 species
GACGAACGCUGGCGGCGUGCUUAACACAUGCAAGUCGAACGGUAAGGCUCCAGCUUGCUGGGGUACACGAGUGGCGAACGGGUGAGUAACACGUGGGUGACCUGCCCUGCACUUCGGGAUAAGCCUGGGAAACUGGGUCUAAUACCGGAUAGGACCGCACCGUGAGGGUGUGGUGGAAAGUUUUUUCGGUGUGGGAUGGGCCCGCGGCCUAUCAGCUUGUUGGUGGGGUAAUGGCCUACCAAGGCGGCGACGGGUAGCCGGCCUGAGAGGGUGGACGGCCACGUUGGGACUGAGACACGGCCCAGACUCCUACGGGAGGCAGCAGUGGGGAAUAUUGCACAAUGGGCGGAAGCCUGAUGCAGCGACGCCGCGUGGGGGAUGACGGCCUUCGGGUUGUAAACUCCUUUCACCAUCGACGAAGGGUUUCUGACGGUAGAUGGAGAAGAAGCACCGGCUAACUACGUGCCAGCAGCCGCGGUAAUACGUAGGGUGCGAGCGUUGUCCGGAAUUACUGGGCGUAAAGGGCUCGUAGGUGGUUUGUCGCGUCGUCUGUGAAAUUCCGGGGCUUAACUCCGGGCGUGCAGGCGAUACGGGCAUAACUUGAGUACUGUAGGGGAGACUGGAAUUCCUGGUGUAGCGGUGAAAUGCGCAGAUAUCAGGAGGAACACCGGUGGCGAAGGCGGGUCUCUGGGCAGUAACUGACGCUGAGGAGCGAAAGCAUGGGGAGCGAACAGGAUUAGAUACCCUGGUAGUCCAUGCCGUAAACGGUGGGCGCUAGGUGUGGGUUUCCUUCCACGGGAUCCGUGCCGUAGCUAACGCAUUAAGCGCCCCGCCUGGGGAGUACGGCCGCAAGGCUAAAACUCAAAGGAAUUGACGGGGGCCCGCACAAGCGGCGGAGCAUGUGGAUUAAUUCGAUGCAACGCGAAGAACCUUACCUGGGCUUGACAUAUACAGGAUCGCGCCAGAGAUGGUGUUUCCCUUGUGGCUUGUAUACAGGUGGUGCAUGGUUGUCGUCAGCUCGUGUCGUGAGAUGUUGGGUUAAGUCCCGCAACGAGCGCAACCCUUGUCUUAUGUUGCCAGCACGUUGUGGUGGGGACUCGUAAGAAACUGCCGGGGUUAACUCGGAGGAAGGUGGGGAUGACGUCAAAUCAUCAUGCCCCUUAUGUCCAGGGCUUCACACAUGCUACAAUGGUCGGUACAGUGGGUUGCCAGUCCGUGAGGGCGAGCUAAUCCCGCAAAGCCGGUCUCAGUUCGGAUCGGGGUCUGCAACUCGACCCCGUGAAGUCGGAGUCGCUAGUAAUCGCAGAUCAGCAACGCUGCGGUGAAUACGUUCCCGGGCCU